rnacentral:rRNA from 1 species
GGAGGAAGGGAGUAAAGUUAAUACCUUUGCUCAUUGACGUUACCCGCAGAAGAAGCACCGGCUAACUCCGUGCCAGCAGCCGCGGUAAUACGGAGGGUGCAAGCGUUAAUCGGAAUUACUGGGCGUAAAGCGCACGCAGGCGGUUUGUUAAGUCAGAUGUGAAAUCCCCGGGCUCAACCUGGGAACUGCAUCUGAUACUGGCAAGCUUGAGUCUCGUAGAGGGGGGUAGAAUUCCAGGUGUAGCGGUGAAAUGCGUAGAGAUCUGGAGGAAUACCGGUGGCGAAGGCGGCCCCCUGGACGAAGACUGACGCUCAGGUGCGAAAGCGUGGGGAGCAAACAGGAUUAGAUACCCUGGUAGUCCACGCCGUAAACGAUGUCGACUUGGAGGUUGUGCCCUUGAGGCGUGGCUUCCGGAGCUAACGCGUUAAGUCGACCGCCUGGGGAGUACGGCCGCAAGGUUAAAACUCAAAUGAAUUGACGGGGGCCCGCACAAGCGGUGGAGCAUGUGGUUUAAUUCGAUGCAACGCGAAGAACCUUACCUGGUCUUGACAUCCACGGAAGUUUUCAGAGAUGAGAAUGUGCCUUCGGGAACCGUGAGACAGGUGCUGCAUGGCUGUCGUCAGCUCGUGUUGUGAAAUGUUGGGUUAAGUCCCGCAACGAGCGCAACCCUUAUCCUUUGUUGCCAGCGGUCCGGCCGGGAACUCAAAGGAGACUGCCAGUGAUAAACUGGAGGAAGGUGGGGACGACGUCAAGUCAUCAUGGCCCUUACGACCAGGGCUACACACGUGCUACAAUGGCGCAUACAAAGAGAAGCGACCUCGCGAGAGCAAGCGGACCUCAUAAAGUGCGUCGUAGUCCGGAUUGGAGUCUGCAACUCGACUCCAUGAAGUCGGAAUCGCUAGUAAUCGUGGAUCAGAAUGCCACGGUGAAUACGUUCCCGGGCCUUGUACACACCGCCCGUCACACCAUGGGAGUGGGUUGCAAAAGAAGUAGGUAGCUUAACCUUCGGGAGGGCGCUUACCACUUUGUGAUUCAUGACUGGGGUGAAGUCGUAACAAGGUAACCGUAGGGGAACCUGCGGUUGGAUCACCUCCUU